GAUGAACGCUGGCGGCGUGCCUAAUACAUGCAAGUCGAGCGAACGGACGAGAAGCUUGCUUCUCUGAUGUUAGCGGCGGACGGGUGAGUAACACGUGGAUAACCUACCUAUAAGACUGGGAUAACUUCGGGAAACCGUAGCUAAUACCGGAUAAUAUUUUGAACCGCAUGGUUCAAAAGUGAAAGACGGUCUUGCUGUCACUUAUAGAUGGAUCCGCGCUGCAUUAGCUAGUUGGUAAGGUAACGGCUUACCAAGGCAACGAUGCAUAGCCGACCUGAGAGGGUGAUCGGCCACACUGGAACUGAGACACGGUCCAGACUCCUACGGGAGGCAGCAGUAGGGAAUCUUCCGCAAAGGGCGAAAGCCUGACGGAGCAACGCCGCGUGAGUGAUGAAGGUCUUCGGAUCGUAAAACUCUGUUAUGAGGGAAGAACAUAUGUGUAAGUAACUGUGCACAUCUUGACGGUACCUAAUCAGAAAGCCACGGCUAACUACGUG
rnacentral:rRNA from 1 species